AGGUAGCUCUAGGGGUGCUAUAAUAAAUCUUAGCUGAGAAUAAACCCUUAUGACUUGAUCUGGAUAAUACCAGCGGAAGGAAAGAGAGUAUGUUUUUUA
rnacentral:ncRNA from 2 species